rnacentral:tRNA from 35 species
GGCGCGAUGGCGGAGUGGUUACGCAGAGGACUGCAAAUCCUUGCACGCCGGUUCGAUUCCGGCUCGCGCCUCCA